AGGGAUCUACUUUUAAUCUAUCAAUUCUAGUUUUGAGUCAUUUUAUCCUAGCGGCUUUUGAUACAUCUCAUGAAAUUCCCUUUUGUAAGCCAAGGCAAGGCAUUUCUUGGUUGACCUAGUCUUCCAGGCAAUACCUUUAAGAUGUGUCUUCCCUUAUUUUAUUUUUUUUGAGUUGUGGGUGGGGGGAUUAAAAAGUCUGUUGGAUCUUGAACUGAUCAGAGAACUGCAGCCGGC
rnacentral:lncRNA from 1 species